rnacentral:rRNA from 1 species
GAUGAACGCUGGCGGCGUGCCUAAUACAUGCAAGUCGAGCGAACAGACGAGGAGCUUGCUCCUCUGACGUUAGCGGCGGACGGGUGAGUAACACGUGGAUAACCUACCUAUAAGACUGGGAUAACUUCGGGAAACCGGAGCUAAUACCGGAUAACAUGUUGAACCGCAUGGUUCAACAGUGAAAGACGGUCUUGCUGUCACUUAUAGAUGGAUCCGCGCCGCAUUAGCUAGUUGGUAAGGUAACGGCUUACCAAGGCAACGAUGCGUAGCCGACCUGUGAGAGUGAUCGCCCACACUGGAACUGAGACACGGUCCAGACUCCUACGGGAGGCAGCAGUAGGGAAUCGUCCGCAAAGGGCGAAAGCCUGACGGAGCAACGCCGCGUGAGUGAAGAAGGUCUUCUGAUCGUAAAACUCUGUUAUUAGGGAAGAACAAAUGUGUAAGUAACUAUGCACGUCCUGACGGUACCUAAUCAGAAAGCCACGGCUAACUACGUG